rnacentral:rRNA from 1 species
UGACGGUACUUGACUAAGAAGCCCCGGCUAACUACGUGCCAGCAGCCGCGGUAAUACGUAGGGGGCAAGCGUUAUCCGGAUUUACUGGGUGUAAAGGGAGCGUAGACGGUAUGGCAAGUCUGAAGUGAAAUGCAUGGGCUCAACCCAUGAACUGCUUUGGAAACUGUCAAACUAGAGUGCAGGAGGGGUAAGUGGAAUUCCUAGUGUAGCGGUGAAAUGCGUAGAUAUUAGGAGGAACACCAGUGGCGAAGGCGGCUUACUGGACUGUAACUGACGUUGAGGCUCGAAAGCGUGGGGAGCAAACAGGAUUAGAUACCCUG